UGGCCGGAGGAUAGGCCAUCCCGCCGGUCCAUUCCCGCCCCACCGCGAGGGAGGAGACCGACCAGUUGCGCCUCCCCGCCGGUCGCCGCCCGCCACCCCAAGGAUCAAGGCCGGCCGCGCCGGUCCCCGUCGGUCGCUGCUCCGGAUCCAGGCCGCCCACCGCCCCGCCCCCGUCAGCUAUGACGUACCCCGCCGCCAGAAGGCCAGGAGGCCGCCAUGGAGGCCCGUCCCGAGCUCGCCUUGCUUCUCCUCCGCAUAGGGAAGUUCUUUCUACAGGACAGAAAUUUGUGGUGGAUAAAGAGGCGAGAGCCAACAAGUAAUUGAUCUCUUUUCCUAAUGGUCGAACAACUGCAGCUUCAGUUUAAGCAAUAAGAGCCAUAUUCAGAUUUGCUUCAGAUCACGGAAGCUUGGGUUGAUGGAGUG